rnacentral:rRNA from 1 species
ACACUCCUGCGGGAGGCAGCAGUGGGGAAUAUUGCACAAUGGGCGCAAGCCUGAUGCAGCCAUGCCGCGUGUAUGAAGAAGGCCUUCGGGUUGUAAAGUACUUUCAGCGGGGAGGAAGGCGAUAAGGUUAAUAACCUUGUCGAUUGACGUUACCCGCAGAAGAAGCACCGGCUAACUCCGUGCCAGCAGCCGCGGUAAUACGGAGGGUGCAAGCGUUAAUCGGAAUUACUGGGCGUAAAGCGCACGCAGGCGGUCUGUCAAGUCGGAUGUGAAAUCCCCGGGCUCAACCUGGGAACUGCAUUCGAAACUGGCAGGCUAGAGUCUUGUAGAGGGGGGUAGAAUUCCAGGUGUAGCGGUGAAAUGCGUAGAGAUCUGGAGGAAGACCGGUGGCGAAGGCGGCCCCCUGGACAAAGACUGACGCUCAGGUGCGAAAGCGUGGGGAGCAAACAGGAUUAGAAACCCCUGUAGUCCCAUG